rnacentral:rRNA from 1 species
UACGUAGGGGGCAAGCGCUGUCCGGAUUUAUUGGGCGUAAAGAGCUCGUAGGCGGUUUGUCGCGUCGAAUGUGAAAACCCGGGGCUCAACCCCGGGCCUGCAUUCGAUACGGGCAGACUAGAGUUCGGUAGGGGAGUCUAGAUUCCUGGUGUAGCGGUGAAAUGCGCAGAUAUCAGGAGGAACACCGGUGGCGAAGGCGGGACUCUGGGCCGAUACUGACGCUGAGGAGCGAAAGCGUGGGGAGCAAACAGG